CAGAAUAACCACCGCACUGUAAGGCAGAGUGAGGGCAACUGUGUUCGCUCAGACCUUUGUGGAAGUGAGCCCUGAACAGCAGAACUGCUCCAGGAAAUGCGCUGUGUGUCUAAGUCUGAGCUCAUGGGAUUUUCCCAGAUCAGCAGACAGGUGCAUACCGGAUUCCCUCUGAACUAUUCAUUUGUUCCCUCUGCAAAGCUGUUAUAUCUGCAAAGCUGCAAAACAGAUUCUAAAAGACCUCAUGUUGUAUGUGUACUAGACCUCCUGUUAGGAAAUAUUUCAGAGUAGAUGAUUCUAUAUACAUCUUAUUUCAAAAAAAACCCCAGAUUAUUUUAAUAUGAUUUUCGAUCUGUAGGCUUGUUUUUGCUGCACAGAUCAUACUUGGACCUGAAAGAAAUGUAAAGCCUGACUGCAGGCUAGGAUCUUGGAUUUUACG